rnacentral:rRNA from 1 species
AUUGAACGCUGGCGGCAGGCCUAACACAUGCAAGUCGAGCGGAUGAAGGGAGCUUGCUCCUGGAUUCAGCGGCGGACGGGUGAGUAAUGCCUAGGAAUCUGCCUGGUAGUGGGGGAUAACGUCCGGAAACGGGCGCUAAUACCGCAUACGUCCUGAGGGAGAAAGUGGGGGAGCUUCGGACCUCACGCUAUCAGAUGAGCCUAGGUCGGAUUAGCUAGUUGGUGGGGUAAAGGCCUACCAAGGCGACGAUCCGUAACUGGUCUGAGAGGAUGAUCAGUCACACUGGAACUGAACCACGGACCAGAGUCCUACGGGAGGCAGCAGUGGGGAAUAUUGGACAAUGGUCGAAAACCUGAUCCAGCCAUGCCGCGUGUGUGAAGACGGUCUUCGGAUUGUAAAGCACUUUAAGUUGGGAGGAAGGGCAGUAAGUUAAUACCAUGCUGUUUUGACGUUACCAACAGAAUAAGCACCGGCUAACUUCGUG